rnacentral:rRNA from 1 species
UACGAAAGGUGCAAGCGUUAAUCGGAAUUACUGGGCGUAAAGCGUGCGCAGGCGGUUUUGUAAGCCAGAUGUGAAAGCCCCGGGCUUAACCUGGGAAUGGCAUUUGGGACUGCAAGGCUUGAGUGCGGCAGAGGAGACUGGAAUUCCUGGUGUAGCAGUGAAAUGCGUAGAUAUCAGGAGGAAUACCGAUGGCGAAGGCAGGUCUCUGGGCUGACACUGACGCUCAUGCACGAAAGCGUGGGGAGCAAACAGG